UACGUAGGGUGCGAGCGUUGUCCGGAAUUAUUGGGCGUAAAGAGCUCGUAGGCGGUCUGUCGCGUCGGUCGUGAAAACUUGGGGCUUAACCCUGAGCUUGCGAUCGAUACGGGCAUGACUGGAGUUCGGCAGGGGAGACUGGAAUUCCUGGUGUAGCGGUGAAAUGCGCAGAUAUCAGGAGGAACACCGGUGGCGAAGGCGGGUCUCUGGGCCGAUACUGACGCUGAGGAGCGAAAGCGUGGGGAGCGAACAGG
rnacentral:rRNA from 1 species